rnacentral:rRNA from 1 species
GACAGAGGAUGCAAGCGUUAUCCGGAAUGAUUGGGCGUAAAGCGUCUGUAGGCGGCUAGGUAAGUCUUCUGUGAAAUCUACGGGCUUAACUCGUUAAAGUGCAGAAGAUACUGCUUGGCUAGAGUGUCGGAGAGGAUAGUGGAAUUCCCGGUGUAGAGGUGAAAUUCGUAGAGAUGUGGAGGAACACCGAUGGCGAAGGCAGCCUCCUGGGCCAGCACUGACGCUCAUGCACGAAAGCGUGGGGAGCAAACAGG